CACUGCUGAGGGGAAAAGAGACAUCUUGGUGGUGGUGGUGUUCUCAUAUCAGUCAGGGGCAGAGCAGAUGGCAGUCCUUCGCUCAUCUUAGUUUGAUGUCUGGCUUGGUGGACAAAGCUGUCUUAUGCCUAGGACUUAUAA